rnacentral:piRNA from 1 species
UGGUCUUGUAACAACCCAUCUUUUGCCUAUG